UCUGGUCCUCGGUAGUGGUCUUCGGGUGCAACGCCCCCGCGGAUCUCGAUCGAAGACCGGC
rfam:Tessaracoccus flavescens strain SST-39T, complete genome.